GAUGAACGCUGGCGGCGUGCCUAACACAUGCAAGUCGAGCGAUUCUCUUCGGAGAAGAGCGGCGGACGGGUGAGUAACGCGUGGGUAACCUGCCCUGUACACACGGAUAACAUACCGAAAGGUAUGCUAAUACGAGAUAAUAUGCUUUUAUCGCAUGGUAGAAGUAUCAAAGCUUUUGCGGUACAGGAUGGACCCGCGUCUGAUUAGCUAGUUGGUAAGGUAACGGCUUACCAAGGCGACGAUCAGUAGCCGACCUGAGAGGGUGAUCGGCCACAUUGGAACUGAGACACGGUCCAAACUCCUACGGGAGGCAGCAGUGGGGAAUAUUGCACAAUGGGCGAAAGCCUGAUGCAGCAACGCCGCGUGAGCGAUGAAGGCCUUCGGGUCGUAAAGCUCUGUCCUCAAGGAAGAUAAUGACGGUACUUGAGGAGGAAGCCCCGGCUAACUACGUGCCAGCAGCCGCGGUAAUACGUAGGGGGCUAGCGUUAUCCGGAAUUACUGGGCGUAAAGGGUGCGUAGGUGGUUUCUUAAGUCAGAGGUGAAAGGCUACGGCUCAACCGUAGUAAGCCUUUGAAACUGGGGAACUUGAGUGCAGGAGAGGAGAGUGGAAUUCCUAGUGUAGCGGUGCAAUUGCGAUCAUAUUAUGAGGAACACUCCUUGUUAAUGCGGCUCUCUGGACUGCUACUGACCCUGAUGCACAUAGGGCUUGGGGGAGCAACUCGAUUACAUACCCUGGUUGUCCUCUGCGCCAACCAUUAGUACUAGCUGGCAGACGUUACCCCCUUCGGUGUGACGACUUAAGCAUUUCCUACUCUUCCUGCGAAGUACCCUCGCAAGACUGAUCCUCGUAGGAAUUGACGGGCACCCGCAUAAGUGGCGGAGCAUGUGUCUUAUUUCGAACUUACGCGAAGAACUCUUACACUACGCUUGACAUCCUUUUGACCGAUGCCUAAUCGUUUCUUUCCCUUUGGGGACAUACGUGAAGGUGUUGCAUGGAUGACGUCAACUCUAGUCAAGGGAUGUCGCGUUAAUUCCCGUUACGAGAGCUGCUCUUGUCUUUGUGUGCCACCACUACGAUUCGUUCUCUAUACGGUCUGGCGAGCAUAAUUUGCAGGAAGAGUCUUAUUACGUCAACUGUCAUGCCGCUUGAGGUUACUGCUACCGCUUGCUAUCAUGGGUUGGCACGAGGACUACCAAGGUAUCGAAGCCUAGCUGAUCCUUACAGUCUUUUGUCUCAUCGAUUGUUAGCUGAACAUAGCUACCUCAGCUGGAGUUACCAGCAAUCAACUACACAAUGCUGCGGUGCAUGAGUCUCGGGUCU
rnacentral:rRNA from 1 species